rnacentral:misc_RNA from 1 species
GUGAAUCAUCGAAUCUUUGAACGCACCUUGCACUCCUUGGUAUUCCGAGGAGUAUGCCUGUUUGAGUGUCAUGAAAUUCUCAACUUCAUAGUUUUACGACUGUGAUGUUGGAUUUGGAAGCUUUUGCUGGCGAAAGUCGGCUCUUCUUAAAUGCAUUAGCUGCUUGUCCGCGAGUUGGCUCAGAGUGUGAUAAGUAUCUACACUUGGUGGCUGCUUGCCUUGGAUGUGGCUUCUAAUCGUCUUCGGACAAUUUCUUAAGAUCUGACCUCAAAUCAGGUAGGACUACCCGCUGAACUUAAGCAUAUCAAUAAGCGGAGGA